CCGAGUCGAGGGUGUCUCUUCGGAGCGCCCGACCCUCCAACCCUUUGUCUACUUGACCUUUUGUUGCUUCGGCAGGCCUGUUCUACCCGAACUGUCGGGGGUGGUAACCCACCCCGGGCGUGCGCCUGUCGACGGCCCCAACCAUUAAACUCAUGUCCAAAACGUGUCGUCUGAGUAAACAAACAUAAUAAAAACCA
rnacentral:misc_RNA from 1 species